AACAUGAAUAACAAGGAAGUCGAAAUGUUUAUUGUAAACAAUGUUUUAUUGCAUUGGAAGUACAUUGGGUCAGUCAUGUUAACGAGUGCACAUUUGCAUGACGGUAUAAAAUCAGUGAUUACAUAUUCUAUAUACGAGUCUGCAAAACAAUAUUUUUGACAUGAAAAUACCAAACUGAAUCCUGCUCAUGUGAUGCAAAAACUGGCCAAAACCAAAAGUCCAUUAAGUGGUACCUUGACUUCAACAGUUGAACGUUGUUCUGUGACCACGCUAGUGAGUAUUGUGAUAUGUUGUCUGCCGUUUGUGUUCAAAACAAAAGUUUCGAGGUACCACUGUAUUGUUAAUAGGCUUUUGCUGAACAUGAGCUUUUGUCAUUUAGACACUGACGUCAUACGCCUUAUAAAUACAAUA